GACGAACGCUGGCGGCGUGCUUAACACAUGCAAGUCGAACGGAAAUGCUCUGCUUUUGUUGGGUGCUCGAGUGGCGAACGGGUGAGUAACACGUGAGUAACCUGCCCUUGACUUUCGGAUAACUUCAGGAAACUGGGGCUAAUACCGGAUAUGAUCUUCUGCUGCAUGGUGGGGGUUGGAAAGUUGCGGCGUUUGGGGAUGGACUCGCGGCUUAUCAGCUUGUUGGUGGGGUAGUGGCUUACCAAGGCUUUGCCGGGUAGCCGGCCUGAGAGGGUGACCGGCCACAUUGGGACUGAGAUACGGCCCAGACUCCUACGGGAGGCAGCGGUGGGGAAUAGUGGAAGAUGGGCGGAAGGCUGAUGCAGCAACGCCGCGUGCGGGAUGACGGCCGUCGGGGUGUAAACCGCGUUCGCCUGUGACGGAGCGUGAGUGACGGUAAUGGGUAAAGAAGCAACGGCUAACUACGUG
rnacentral:rRNA from 1 species